UUGGUGGCGACCGGCGCACGGGUGAGUAACGCGUAUGCAACCCAUUUAUCAGAGGGGAAUAACCCGGCGAAAGUCGGACUAACAUUGCAUAAAACAGGGACACCGCAUGGUGAUAUUUGUUAAAGAAAUUCGCUGAUAGAUGGGCAUGCGUUCCAUUAGGUAGUUGGUGAGGUAACGGCUCACCAAGCCGACGAUGGAUAGGGGAACUGAGAGGUUGGUCCCCCACACUGGUACUGAGACACGGACCAGACUCCUACGGGAGGCAGCAGUGAGGAAUAUUGGUCAAUGGGCGAGAGCCUGAACCAGCCAAGUCGCGUGAAGGAAGAAGGAUCUAUGGUUCGUAAACUUCUUUUGCAGGGGAAUAAAGUGCAGGACGUGUCCUGUUUUGUAUGUACCCUGAGAAUAAGGAUCGGCUAACUCCGUGCCAGCAGCCGCGGUAAUACGGAGGAUCCGAGCGUUAUCCGGAUUUAUUGGGUUUAAAGGGUGCGUAGGUGGUUUGAUAAGUCAGCGGUGAAAGUUUGCAGCUUAACUGUAAAAAUGCCGUUGAAACUGUCGGACUUGAGUGUAAAUGAGGUAGGCGGAAUGCGUGGUGUAGCGGUGAAAUGCUUAGAUAUCACGAAGAACUCCGAUUG
rnacentral:rRNA from 1 species